UACGUAGGGUGCAAGCGUUGUCCGGCAUUAUUGGGCGUAAAGAGCUCGUAGGUGGCUUGUCGCGUCUGCCGUGAAAGCCCGUGGCUUAACUACGGGUCUGCGGUGGAUACGGGCAGGCUAGAGGCUGGUAGGGGCAAGCGGAAUUCCUGGUGGAGCGGUGAAAUGCGCAGAUAUCAGGAGGAACACCCGUAGCGAAGGCGGCACUCUGGGCCGAUACUGACACUGAGGAGCGAAAGCGUGGGGAGCGAACAGG
rnacentral:rRNA from 1 species